CCGCUCCCCGCCUCCUGCUGGGCGCGGCCCAGGCUGCUCUGGACGGGCUGUCCAAUAACACUGACGCCCGCCUCUCCGGGGUAACCGUCGCCGCCACCCCAGCAGGCCUGCUGACGCCUCAGCGCCGCACACUGACCGGCCCGGGCUCGCAGAUGGGGAACCGAGGCCUCGUGGUCACACCUAGCUGCACGGAGAAGGCACGAUGUUAAGUGGAGAGUGGACACAUCCGACCACAGUUAUUUUCAGAAGUAUUAUCAUCAUUAUUAUUUUGAGAAGAGGAGCAGGAAGAUCUGGACACAGAGACACAGGCUCAUCGGAAGAAGGCUGAGUGACAGGGGAGAGAAUACUGUGGCUGCUGACUGGGGAGCACCAAGGACUGCACAGCCGCAGACGCCCAGAGAGACCCGGACCAACUGUCCUCCAGCAGGACCAUGAGGAGGCAGCUCUGGAGUCCUCCUUCCUGAGGGUCUUUACCAGCUGUGAUCAAAAUACAGUGUCUGCUGCUGCCGAGCGCCAUCCAGCAGAAAGGCAGCUCAUAAACACACAAUGCUGCAUCCUCAUCUGCCUUAGUCACCGGAUCUGGCACCGUGUGACUCCUGGCUCUUCCCCAAAGUCACAAUGACCAUGACAGGACUCGUUAUGAAUCCAUUCAGGACACUGAGGCAGCCAGGACAGUGCAGCUAAAGACCAUGAAAUCCCUACCUCACGCCAUACACCCAAGCCAUAUGGAACUGCAGUGGUCACUACUUUCGGUCUCCAGUUUCUUACAGGGUGACCCCUCUGCCUGACCAACAGCCACCCCCUUUAACCUCAAAGAGAGUUUUGUGUUGUUUCUUCUUUUGUUUUGUUUGUUUGCUUGUUUGUUUUUUUGACACAAGGUCUCACUAUAUAGUUUAGGCUGGUUUUGAACUCACUGUGUAGCCCAGGCUGGCCUCAAACUCACAGCAAUCCUCCUGCCUCACCCUCCUGAGUGCUGAGAUUACAAGUGUGCACCACCAUGCCUGGCUAAUUAUUUUGUU
rnacentral:lncRNA from 1 species